AAAUUACUCCCUCUGUCCCAAAAUUCUUGUCUUAGAUUUGUCUAGAUACGGAUGUAUCAAGUCACAUUUUAGUAUUAGAUACAUACGUAUCUAGAAAAAUCUAAGACAAGAAAUUUGGGACAGAGGGAGUAGUUG
rnacentral:pre_miRNA from 1 species